rfam:Cucumis melo, WGS project CAJI01000000 data, contig: 11914
UCAUGGCCGUGACGAUGGAACUUCAGCUUAUAAUGCCAGUUCUGCUUCAGAACUUGAUGAUUGAUAAAGCUGUUUCAUUAAUCUGAGCCUUCG